rnacentral:rRNA from 1 species
GACGAACGCUGGCGGCGUGCUUAACACAUGCAAGUCGAACGGAAAGGCCCUGCUUUUGUGGGGUGCUCGAGUGGCGAACGGGUGAGUAACACGUGAGUAACCUGCCCUUGACUUUGGGAUAACUUCAGGAAACUGGGGCUAAUACCGGAUAGGAGCUCCUGCUGCAUGGUGGGGGUUGGAAAGUUUCGGCGGUUGUGGAUGGACUGGAGGCUUAUCAGCUUGUUGGUGGGGUAGUGGCUUACCAAGGCUUUGACGGGUAGCCCGCCUGAGAGUGUGACCGGCCACAUGAGGCCUGAGAGAGGCCCCAGUCUCCAACGGGAGGCAGCAGGGGGGAACAUUGCGCAAUGGGCGCAAGCCUGUUGCGGCAACGCCGCGUUCGUGAUGACGUCCUUCGGGUUGUAAACCGCUGUCGCCUGUGACGAAGCGUGAGUGACGGUAAUGGGUAAAGAAGCACCGGCUAACUACGUG